GGCGUCAAAUUUUGAUACAAUAAGGCUAAAUCAUUGAAAAUAAGGAAUUUUCAUCAACCUUAUCACUUUGCACGACCAUUACUCUGAAAAACAGAGAGAAAAGAAAACCAAAAACCAUUUCUUGGCUGGUUUGAAGAAAUUCUAAGGAGAUCCAAGUGAAAGCAAAGCUAAAGAAGUAGAUUAAGCUUAAUUCUAGCCUUUUUAUGGUAAGUUCUUGUACUUGGAAGUUAAACCAUGUUUUUGAAUUUUUCUGAAAGCUUAUAUAUGGUGUUUUAUCCUUUUUAAGAUAUUUCUUGGGGUUUCCAAGUGGUUUGAGGUUUAGAAAAGCUUGAAGAGAUUGUUUUCGCCGAAAAGUUGCUCGGUAGAGAAAGAAAUGUGUGAAUGACAUGAGGAGAACUGAAGCAUGGUCCUGACCCUGAUUUGUACAUAUGAACAUAUCGACCUUUUGUGGGUUAUUUCAGUUAUCAGUGAGAUGUUUGUAAUAAAGUGUGAAGUUAUGUUUUGAAAAUAAAUUGGGUUAUUUAAUACUUA